rnacentral:rRNA from 1 species
GACGAACGCUGGCGGCGUGCUUAACACAUGCAAGUCGAACGAAGAGCGAUGGAAGCUUGCUUCUAUCAAUCUUAGUGGCGAACGGGUGAGUAACGCGUAAUCAACCUGCCCUUCAGAGGGGGACAACAGUUGGAAACGACUGCUAAUGCCGCAUACGAUCUGACCUCGGCAUCGAGGAUAGAUGAAAGGUGGCCUCUAUUUAUAAGCUAUCACUGAAGGAGGGGAUUGCGUCUGAUUAGCUAGUUGGAGGGGUAACGGCCCACCAAGACGAUGAUCAGUAGCCGGUCUGAGAGGAUGAACGGCCACAUUGGGACUGAGACACGGCCCAGACUCCUACGGGAGGCAGCAGUGGGGAAUCUUCCGCAAUGGACGAAAGUCUGACGGAGCAACGCCGCGUGAGUGAUGACGGCCUUCGGGUUGUAAAGCUCUGUUAAUCGGGACGAAAGGCCUUCUUGCGAAUAGUUAGAAGGAUUGACGGUACCGGAAUAGAAAGCCACGGCUAACUACGUG